GGCUUACACAUGCAAGUCGAGCGGGCGUAGCAAUACGUCAGCGGCAGACGGGUGAGUAACGCGUGGGAACGUACCUUUUGGUUCGGAACAACACAGGGAAACUUGUGCUAAUACCGGAUAAGCCCUUACGGGGAAAGAUUUAUUGCCGAAAGAUGGGCCCGCGUCUGAUUAGCUAGUUGGUAAGGUAACGGCUUACCAAGGCGAUGAUCAGUAGGGGGCGUGAGAGCGUGGUCCCCCACACGGGUACUGAGACACGGACCCGACUCCUACGGGAGGCAGCAGUAAGGAAUAUUGGUCAAUGGGCGCAAGCCUGAACCAGCCAUCCAGCGUGCAGGAAGAAGGGCCUAUGGGUUGUACAACUGCUUUUAUCAGGGAAUAAACCUCUUUAUUUAUGGAGAGCUGAAGGUACCUGAACGAAUAAGCAACCGGCUUAACUCCGUGCCAGCAAGCCGCGGUAAAUACGGACGGGUGCAGACGCAGUUAUCCGGACCUUACUGGGACGUAAAGCGUGCGCAGGCGGAUCA
rnacentral:rRNA from 1 species